rnacentral:rRNA from 1 species
GUGCCAGACUCCUACGGGAGGCAGCAGUGGGGGAUAUUGCACAAUGGGGGAAACCCUGAUGCAGCGACGCCGCGUGAGUGAAGAAGUAUUUCGGUAUGUAAAGCUCUAUCAGCAGGGAAGAAGAUGACAGUACCUGAGUAAGAAGCCCCGGCUAACUACGUGCCAGCAGCCGCGGUAAUACGUAGGGGGCAAGCGUUAUCCGGAUUUACUGGGUGUAAAGGGAGCGUAGACGGUUAUGUAAGUCUGGAGUGAAAGCCCGGGGCCCAACCCCGGGACUGCUUUGGAAACUGCGAGGCUGGAGUGCUGGAGAGGUAAGCGGAAUUCCUGGUGUAGCGGUGAAAUGCGUAGAUAUCAGGAGGAACACCGGUGGCGAAGGCGGCUUACUGGACAGUGACUGACGUUGAGGCUCGAAAGCGUGGGGAGCGAACAGGAUUAGAUACCCUAGUAAU